GUCUAUUCUGGAGGUUUAUUGCUAUUCAACUUUCAAGAGAAUUUAGAUAUGUACCUACCCAUAACCAACGGUGCCACAUUCUUAGCGCCAUUCUGGGCUGAUAUAGAAACAUCAAAUGAAGGAGAAAUCUAUAUCGGGACCAACACAAGCUUAGAACUUCUGUCACAAGCAACAUCUGACGUCGGCUCGUACUUUCCCGGUCUGAAUUUCUCUGCCGAGAUGGUUUUGGUGGCAACAUGGGUGAAAGUUCCUUACCAUUUUUCUACAUUUCCAAGCAGACAGGUAUCUACACCUAUGUUUCAAUUGGUUUAAGAUCUCCAUGACACCCAUAAGGGUAUAGAUAGUCUCAACAUUUGUGAAGAAUAA